UACGAAGGGUGCAAGCGUUAGUCGGAAUUACUGGGCGUAAAGCGUGCGUAGGCGGUCUCUUAAGUCCGUUGUGAAAGCCCUGGGCUCAACCUGGGAACUGCAGUGGAUACUGAGAAGCUAGAGUGUGUCAGAGGAUGGUGGAAUUCCCGGUGUAGCGGUGGAAUGCGUAGAGAUCCGGAAGAACACCAGUGGCGAAGGCGGCCCGCUGGGCAGUGGCUGACGCUGAAGCGCGACAGCGUGGGGAGCAAACAGG
rnacentral:rRNA from 1 species